rnacentral:rRNA from 1 species
UACGGAGGGUGCAAGCGUUGUCCGGAUUUAUUGGGUUUAAAGGGUGCGUAGGCGGUCUUUUAAGUCAGCGGUGAAAUCCUCCAGCUUAACUGGAGAACUGCCAUUGAUACUGGAAGACUUGAGUACAGACGAGGUAGGCGGAAUUGACAGUGUAGCGGUGAAAUGCAUAGAUAUUGUCAAGAACACCGAUUGCGAAGGCAGCUUACUAGACUGUAACUGGCGCUGAGGCACGAAAGUGUGGGGAUCAAACAGG